GCCGGGCGUGGUGGUGCAUGCCUGUAAUCCCAGCUACUCAGGAGGCUGAGGCAGGAGAAUCGCUUGAAUCCAGGAGGCGGAGGUUGCGGUGAGCCAAGAUUGUGCCGUCGCACUCCAGCCUGGGUGACAGAGCGAGACUCUGUCUCAA
rnacentral:SRP_RNA from 1 species